rnacentral:misc_RNA from 1 species
CCGAGUUAUACAACUCAUCAACCCUGUGAACAUACCUAUACGUUGCCUCGGCGGGAUGACCAGUUGACGCACCGUGGACACAGGCCGCCCCGCCAGGAGGACCCCCUAACUCUGUUUCUAUUAUGUUAUCUUCUGAGUAAACAAGCAAAUAAAUUA